CUCUGCAGUGAGCAGCCCAGAGAGAAGCAGUGGAUGUUAUGGAGCCCAGCUGAAAUGAACUGGCACCCUUGAUCUUGUCUCAAGCCCUGGUGGCAGGUUUUAUCCCAGCACUGAGGACCUGGCCUGAACAUCAGAGCACUCCAGAAGUAUUUUUGGCUGGGCGGAUGAACUAGUAGAAAUCUACCUGUGAUGCUGCUACAAGAGUGUGUGUAACGGCAUGAAGAUCUACAGUGCGGGGCACGUGGAAGUCAAGGUAGCUGAGGUCACUCCGUGGAUACAUCACAGCAGACUCAAACCAGCCAUGACUGCUUGAGACUGCAUUCCUCACCCCACUUCACCCUACAAGCUGACUCUCUGGAAACAAGGACCCGGACCUGCCUUGGAAACCCCAGACAUCAGCCUUGCUCUAGUCACUCCAGGGGCUGACUAGUCUAUGUAUGGCAGAAGCUGGAGGAUCUCCAGGCAAGAAAUAAAAAUUAUCACUCCUGCUGAAGUUGCUGGAAUUUGCUUUCUGGGACUGACGAUACUCUUUGUUUUACUUUUCAGUUGUAUAUAUCACAUCAUCUCUUAUCCUUGUUAACUAACUUGGAGACCCCUAGGCAGACCGUAACUUUCACAGGUCAGAUCCCCUAUGAUAGCAUUGGCCUG